GAGUUUGAUCAUGGCUCAGAUUGAACGCUGGCGGAAUGCUUUACACAUGCAAGUCGAGCGGCAGCGCGGGGCAACCUGGCGGCGAGCGGCGAACGGGUGAGUAAUGCAUCGGAACAUGUCCAUGUCGUGGGGGAUAGCCCGGCGAAAGCCGGAUUAAUACCGCAUACGCCCGAGAGGGGAAAGUGGGGGACCGCAAGGCCUCACGCGAUUGGGUUGGCCGAUGUCCGAUUAGCUAGUUGGUGGGGUAAAGGCUUACCAAGGCGAUGAUCGGUAGCUGGUCUGAGAGGAUGAUCAGCCACACUGGGACUGAGACACGGCCCAGACUCCUACGGGAGGCAGCAGUGGGGAAUUUUGGACAAUGGGGGCAACCCUGAUCCAGCCAUUCCGCGUGAGUGAAGAAGGCCUUCGGGUUGUAAAGCUCUUUUGUCCGGAACGAAACGGUUAGCGUGAAUAUCGCUGACUACUGACGGUACCGGAAGAAUAAGCACCGGCUAACUACGUGCCAGCAGCCGCGGUAAUACGUAGGGUGCGAGCGUUAAUCGGAAUUACUGGGCGUAAAGCGUGCGCAGGCGGUUUUGUAAGCCAGAUGUGAAAUCCCCGGGCUUAACCUGGGAAUGGCAUUUGGGACUGCAAGGCUGGAGUGCG
rnacentral:rRNA from 1 species